rnacentral:rRNA from 1 species
CCCUUAGAUGUCCUGGGCUGCACGCGCGCUACACUGGAAGUUACGGAUUGAGAUACUACCUUGUCCGAAAUGGUCCGGGUAAUCACCUAAAAGCUUGUCAUAAUUGGAAUGGAUUAUUGUAACUAGUAAUCCUGAACGAGGAAUUCUUAGUAAGUCCCAGUCAACAGCUGGUACUGAUUACGUCCCUGCCCUUUGUACACACCGCCCGUCGCUACUACUGAUUGGACGUUUAAGCAAGAUUUUUAAACACUGACAGUGUGUAGUUCACGCUAUACUACAGUGAGAAGAAGAAGAUCGAGCUUACUUGUCUAGAGGAAGUAAAAGCCGUAACA